GAAUAUUGGACAAUGGGCGCAAGCCUGAUCCAGCCAUGCCGCGUGCAGGAAGACUGCCCUAUGGGUUGUAAACUGCUUUUAUACGGGAAGAAACACCCCCUCGUGAGGGGGCUUGACGGUACCGUAAGAAUAAGGAUCGGCUAACUCCGGGCCAGGAGCCGCGGUAAUACGGAGGAACCAAGCGUUAUCCGGAAUCAUUGGGUUUAAAAGGUCCGUAGGUGGAUAAUUAAGUCAGAGGUUAAAGUCUGCAGCUCAACUGUAGAAUUGCCUUUGAUACUGGUUAUCUUGAGUCAUUAUGAAGUGGUUAGAAUAUGUAGUGUAGCGGUGAAAUGCAUAGAUAUUACAUAGAAUACCAAUUGCGAAGGCAGAUCACUAAUAAUGUACUGACACUGAUGGACGAAAGCGUGGGGAGCGAACAGG
rnacentral:rRNA from 1 species